rnacentral:lncRNA from 11 species
UUCCUGCUCUCACUUUUUCCCAUCUCUCUGUCAUAUGUUUGCAGGUAAUGCAGAGUUAAAUUCCAGAGUAAAGAAACCCAGGUGACUUCUGUUCUGGAAAGGCAAGAAGAUGCUUUGAGCACCAUAAAUGUGAAGGCAAGGAGUCCAAAGUGACCUUGUGUGUCCUUAAAAGUGUGACCAGAGACCAAGAUUACAUAAUGAAAGAAAACAGAAACAGCAACUUAGUUUACAAUGAAUAUUUUAUCCCCUAAUAUGAAGCCAGUAUGGGUCACAGAGUUCAAGCUGUGGCCAUCGAUCUUCAGCACAGAACUCUCCAAUUUCUCAGUCCUGUUCUGUUCAUGGUACAGAUUAUGAAUUUCCUGUCUUCCAAAUCUCAAG